rnacentral:misc_RNA from 1 species
GAUGAAGAACGUAGCGAAAUGCGAUACUUGGUGUGAAUUGCAGAAUCCCGUGAACCAUCGAGUCUUUGAACGCAAGUUGCGCCCGAAGCCACUAGGCCGAGGGCACGCCUGCCUGGGCGUCACACGUCGUUGCCCCCCACCAUCUACUCCUUCGGGAUUGCGGGGGUGGAUGAUGGCCUCCCGUGCGCCUAGCCGCGCGGUUGGCAUAAAUACCAAGUCCUCGGCGACGCACGCCACGACAAUCGGUGGUUGCGAAACCUCGGUUGCCCGUCGUGUGCGUUCGUCGCGCAUCGAGGGCUCGAAAAAAUGCUCGGCUCCGGCUCGGCUUUCAACGCGACCCCAGGUCAGGCGGGGUUACCCGCUGAAUUUAAGCAUAUCAAUAAGCGGAGGA